rnacentral:rRNA from 1 species
UACAGAGGUCUCAAGCGUUGUUCGGAUUCAUUGGGCGUAAAGGGUGCGUAGGCGGUUCGUUAAGUCUGUUGUGAAAGCCCCGGGCUCAACCUGGGAAUGGCAAUGGAUACUGGCGAGCUAGAGUGUGUCAGAGGAUGGUGGAAUUCCCGGUGUAGCGGUGAAAUGCGUAGAGAUCGGGAGGAACAUCAGUGGCGAAGGCGGCCAUCUGGGACAACACUGACGCUGAGGCACGAAAGCGUGGGGAGCAAACAGGG